rnacentral:rRNA from 1 species
ACUCCUACGGGAGGCAGCAGUGGGGAAUAUUGCACAAUGGGCGCAAGCCUGAUGCAGCCAUGCCGCGUGUGUGAAGAAGGCCUUCGGGUUGUAAAGCACUUUCAGUCGUGAGGAAGGUAGUGUAGUUAAUAGCUGCAUUAUUUGACGUUAGCGACAGAAGAAGCACCGGCUAACUCCGUGCCAGCAGCCGCGGUAAUACGGAGGGUGCGAGCGUUAAUCGGAAUUACUGGGCGUAAAGCGCAUGCAGGUGGUUUGUUAAGUCAGAUGUGAAAGCCCGGGGCUCAACCUCGGAAUAGCAUUUGAAACUGGCAGACUAGAGUACUGUAGAGGGGGUUAGAAUUUCAGGUGUAGCGGUGAAAUGCGUAGAGAUCUGAAGGAAUACCGGUGGCGAAGGCGGCCCCUGGACAGAUACUGACACUCAGAUGCGAAAGCGUGGGAGCAAACAGGAUUAGAUACCCCGU